CUAGCCGUAAACGAUGGAUACUAGGUGUGGGUGUCGCAGGGCAUCCGUGCCGCAGUUAACGCGUUAAGUAUCCCGCCUGGGGACUACGGUCGCAAGACUGAAACUCAAAGGAAUUGACGGGGGCCCGCACAAGCGGUGGAGCACGUGGUUUAAUUCGAUGCAAACCGAAGAACCUUACCUAGGCUUGACAUACAAGUGGUACAGAAGUGAAAGCGGAAGGACCCUAGCUUGCUAGGGAGCUUGAACAGGUGC
rnacentral:rRNA from 1 species